rnacentral:lncRNA from 1 species
GUGAAGCCGGAGGUUGCUAAGUGGAAGUGCAGGUGCUGCUGCUUCUUGCACAAACUGCAGUUGUAAUCCAGGAUUCACGGGCCUGUAGGGGCUCAGACUUCAAAUUGAACCGCGCCUCGGCGGCAGCCACAGGUGUAAUACACGAGGCCCAGGUACCAGAAGGUGUCCAGCAGGGCCUUGGCGGCGCCCUAGCAGCUGAGGUCCAGCCGCUGCGCGCCCAGGUUCAUCUCAUUAGUGGACGCCGCGGGCCCGCGAGUUCGGAGCAGCGCGUGUAUCUGUGGGUCUUUGGGGCUGGCCUCGCUAGCCUACCAGCUUCCUUUCGGUGAUGCUCUUUGCUACCGCCAGGCUCCUGACCCCAGCUUGGACAGCAGGCCGCCGAGCGCCCCUGACGCCCGUUACCGAGAUGGCUGCGCAGAAGGGUAACCCAGAAUGACAUCUAUGCCUUUCAUCUGUAAAAUAACAACAACAGUGGGCUCUGGGAACACAGACUAAGACUCCUUAACCACAGCCAUAGGAGUGGCUGUGGGGCUGUGAUCUCUCCUAGAACCUCAGAGGCAUGAAGCUAGAAUAUCUUCCCCUUCAAGGAGAAUAAGCCAAGCUUCAGGAACAGUUCUUUCUCUGGUUUCUAUGGUGGCCCUAACUCAGAGUCAUCGCAUCUCCUAAGGAGGUUCUGUGACUGGAAAUACCAACCCCUGGAACUGGUGGGUGAACCCUUGAAGCAUCGAUAGGGAUGGAGGGUAUAUUCUGGGAGGGGAUUCUGAGGAUGGGAGUAUCUUUGGAUAUAUUAACAUUUAAAUUUAUUUUUAUUUAAUAAUAUUGUUCAGUACCCAGAGGAUUCAUUUUUGGAGUUAAUUUAAUUUUAAAAAUAUUAAGUACAGGCCAUGUGUAGAUGAGACAAAAACCGUAGGGAAGACAUGAGUUACUAAAGUGAUAGAAAUGAUGCUUAACAUAUUUUGUAUUGAGAACUGAGCUAGUCACUGUGAGGACAGACACAGAAAAUUGAGUCCAAUUUCUAGUCCUCAAAUCCCUCACUUGCCUAACAGAAUUUAUAUAGCACUUGAUGCACUAAAAUCACAAACAAGACACAUACAGCACAUACAGAAAAAUCAUCUACUAAUUCCAGAUUGGAUGGGAUCUUUUUCCAA